rnacentral:rRNA from 1 species
UGGCGACCGGCGCACGGGUGAGUAACACGUAUCCAACCUGCCGAUGACUCGGGGAUAGCCUUUCGAAAGAAAGAUUAAUACCCGAUGGCAUAGUUCUUCCGCAUGGUGGAACUAUUAAAGAAUUUCGGUCAUCGAUGGGGAUGCGUUCCAUUAGGUUGUUGGCGGGGUAACGGCCCACCAAGCCUUCGAUGGAUAGGGGUUCUGAGAGGAAGGUCCCCCACAUUGGAACUGAGACACGGUCCAAACUCCUACGGGAGGCAGCAGUGAGGAAUAUUGGUCAAUGGACGAGAGUCUGAACCAGCCAAGUAGCGUGAAGGAUGACUGCCCUAUGGGUUGUAAACUUCUUUUAUACGGGAAUAAAGUGAGGCACGUGUGCCUUUUUGUAUGUACCGUAUGAAUAAGGAUCGGCUAACUCCGUGCCAGCAGCCGCGGUAAUACGGAGGAUCCGAGCGUUAUCCGGAUUUAUUGGGUUUAAAGGGAGCGUAGAUGGAUGUUUAAGUCAGUUGUGAAAGUUUGCGGCUCAACCGUAAAAUUGCAGUUGAUACUGGAUAUCUUGAGUGCAGUUGAGGCAGGCGGAAUUCGUGGUGUAGCGGUGAAAUGCUUAGAUAUCACGAAGAACUCCGAUUGCGAAGGCAGCCUGCUAAGCUGCAACUGACAUUGAGGCUCGAAAGUGUGGGUAUCAAACAGGAUUAGAUACCCUGGUAGUCCACACGGUAAACGAUGAAUACUCGCUGUUUGCGAUAUACGGCAAGCGGCCAAGCGAAAGCGUUAAGUAUUCCACCUGGGGAGUACGCCGGCAACGGUGAAACUCAAAGGAAUUGACGGGGGCCCGCACAAGCGG